rnacentral:rRNA from 1 species
AGCAGCCGCGGUAAUUCCAGCUCCAAUAGCGUAUAUUAAAGUUGUUGCAGUUAAAAAGCUCGUAGUUGAAUUUCGGGAUCAGUAGAUUGGUCAUGCCUUUGGUAUGUACUGGUCUCACUGAUUCCUCCCUCUUGAAGAUCUGUAAUGUCAUUAAUUUGAUGUUACGGGGAAUCAGGACUGUUACUUUGAAAAAAUUAGAGUGUUUAAAGCAGACUUACGCUUGAAUACAUUAGCAUGGAAUAAUGAAAUAGGACGUAUGAUCCUAUUUUGUUGGUUUCUAGGAUUGACGUAAUGAUUAAUAGGGAUAGGUGGGGGCAUUAGUAUUCAAUUGUCAGAGGUGAAAUUCUUGGAUUUAUUGAAGACUAACUACUGCGAAAGCAUUUGCCAAGGAUGUUUUCAUUAAUCAAGAACGAAAGUUAGGGGAUCGAAGACGAUCAGAUACCGUCGUAGUCUUAACCAUAAACUAUGCCGACUAGGGAUCGGAUGAUGUUAAUUUUUUUAAUGACUCAUUCGGCGCCUU